UACGGGGGGAGCAAGCGUUGUUCGGAUUUACUGGGCGUAAAGGGCGCGUAGGCGGCCAGCACAAGUCAGUUGUGAAAUCUCCGAGCUUAACUGAAAGGUCAACUGAUACUGUGCGGCUAGAGUGCGGAAGGGGCAACUGGAAUUCUUGGUGUAGCGGUGAAAUGCGUAGAUAUCAAGAGGAACACCUGCGGCGAAGGCGGGUUGCUGGGCCGACACUGACGCUGAGGCGCGAAAGCGUGGGGAGCGAACAGG
rnacentral:rRNA from 1 species